AAAUUGAAGAGUUUGAUCAUGGCUCAGAUUGAACGCUGGCGGCAGGCCUAACACAUGCAAGUCGAACGGUAGCACAGAGAGCUUGCUCUCGGGUGACGAGUGGCGGACGGGUGAGUAAUGUCUGGGAAACUGCCUGAUGGAGGGGGAUAACUACUGGAAACGGUGGCUAAUACCGCAUAACGUCGCAAGACCAAAGAGGGGGACCUUCGGGCCUCUUGCCAUCAGAUGUGCCCAGAUGGGAUUAGCUUGUUGGUGAGGUAACGGCUCACCAAGGCGACGAUCCCUAGCUGGUCUGAGAGGAUGACCAGCCACACUGGAACUGAGACACGGUCCAGACUCCUACGGGAGGCAGCAGUGGGGAAUAUUGCACAAUGGGCGCAAGCCUGAUGCAGCCAUGCCG
rnacentral:rRNA from 1 species